AUUGAACGCUGGCGGCAGGCCUAACACAUGCAAGUCGAACGAGUGGCGGACGGGUGAGUAAUGUCUGGGAAACUGCCUGCUGGAGGGGGAUAACUACUGGAAAAGGUAGCUAAUACCGCAUACCAUCAGAUGUGUCCAGAUGGGAUUAGCUAGGUGGUGGGGUAACGGCUCACAAAGGCGACGAUCCCUAGCUGGUCUGAGAGGAGGAAAAGGCACACUGGAACUGAGACCCGGUCCAGACUCCUACGGUAGGCAGCAGUGGGGAAUAUUGCACAAUGGGCGCAAGCCUGAUGCAGCCAUGCCGCGUGUAUGAAGAAGGCAUUCGGGUUGUAAAGUACUUUCAGCGGGGAGGCGUUACCCGCAGAAGAAGCACCGGCUAACUCCGUGCCAGCAGCCGCGGUAAUUC
rnacentral:rRNA from 1 species